GCGCCCGUAGCUCAGCAGGAUAGAGCACCGGUUUCCUAAACCGGGGGUCGCAGGUUCGAGACCUGCCGGGCGCGCCA
rnacentral:tRNA from 2 species